AUAUCCAAUAUCCCUCUCUUCUUCUAAAUUUAAUAACGAAAUCACCCCCUUUAGUCCAAUUUUACUUGUUCAAUAAUAGUGAAAAUUAAAGUGCGAGGAUUAAAAGCUGGAUAGAGGUUACAAUGCAUAGGGACUGAGUGAGAUGUAAUACGCUUUCUAAUGUUAUUUUGAUGUUCCAAAAAUCUAACCUUUGCCAGUCUCCCCGUCCUCCCCACAUAAAGUUAUGAGGCUUUUUAAACUCUCAUAACAGAGAGGGCUUUUAUGUUUGUGGUCACUGUAAGGCCUGUAAAAUUUUACCCAGAGUGUCUCUGUCCUUUCAAAGGUGGUCCACAGAAGAGACUUUUAAAAUAAGGGUCAGUGUCUCCUGUUCCUUCACACAUGUGGUGUACCUGCUUACAUGUGGAUGAAGUGCAUAGUAUGUGGGGAGGAUGGGGAGACUGGCAAAGCUUAGAUUUUUGAAACAUAAAAAUAACAUUAGAAAAUGUAUUACAUCUCACUUUAAUUUUCACUAUUACUGAACAAGUACAAUUGAACAAAAGGGGGUGAUUUAGUUAUUAAACUUAGAAGAAGAGAGGGAUAUUGGAU